rnacentral:rRNA from 1 species
GACGAACGCUGGCGGCGUGCUUAACACAUGCAAGUCGAACGAUGAAGCCUAGCUUGCUAGGUGGAUUAGUGGCGAACGGGUGAGUAAUACGUGAGUAACCUACCUUUAACUCUGGGAUAAGCCUGGGAAACUGGGUCUAAUACCGGAUACGACCAAUCUCCGCAUGGGGUGUUGGUGGAAAGCGUUAUGUAGUGGUUAUAGAUGGGCUCACGGCCUAUCAGCUUGUUGGUGAGGUAACGGCUCACCAAGGCGACGACGGGUAGCCGGCCUGAGAGGGUGACCGGCCACACUGGGACUGAGACACGGCCCAGACUCCUACGGGAGGCAGCAGUGGGGAAUAUUGCACAAUGGGCGCAAGCCUGAUGCAGCGACGCCGCGUGAGGGAUGACGGCCUUCGGGUUGUAAACCUCUGUUAGCAGGGAAGAAGAGAGAUUGACGGUACCUGCAGAGAAAGCGCCGGCUAACUACGUGCCAGCAGCCGCGGUAAUACGUAGGGCGCGAGCGUUGUCCGGAAUUAUUGGGCGUAAAGAGCUUGUAGGCGGUUUGUCGCGUCUGCUGUGAAAGGCCGGAGCUUAACUCCGUGUAUUGCAGUGGGUACGGGCAGACUAGAGUGCAGUAGGGGAAGACUGGAAUUCCUGGUUGUAGCGGUGGGAAUGCGCAGAUAUCAGGAGGCACACCGGAUGGCGAAGGGCAGGUUCUCUGGGCUGUAACUGACGCUGAGAAGCGAAAGCAUGGGGAGCGAACAGG